GACGAACGCUGGCGGCGUGCUUAACACAUGCAAGUCGAACGGAAAGGCCCGGCGCUUGUGGGUUGCUCGAGAGGCGAAGGGGGGAGUAACACGUGAGUAACAUGCCCUUGACUGUCGGAGAACUUCAGGAAACUGGGGCUAAUACCGGAUAGGAUCUCCUGCUGCAUGGUGGGGGUUGGAAAGUGUCGGCGGUGGGGGAUGGACUCGCUGCUUAUCAGCUUGUUGGUGGGGUAGUGGCUUACCAAGGCUUUGACGGAUAGCCGGCCUGAGAGCGUGACCGGCCACCAUGCGACUGAGAGAGGGAGCAGUAUCCAACGGGACGCAGCAGUGGGAAGUAUUGCGCAACGGGCGGGAGCGUGAUGCAGAGACGCCGCGUUCGGAAUGAUGUGUUUCGGGUUGUGAACCACUUUGGCCGGUGAUGAAGCCUGCGUGACGGUAAUGGGUCAAGAAGCACCGGCUAACUACGUG
rnacentral:rRNA from 1 species